GCUACCGUGCUAGGUAAGCUACCGUGCUAGGUAAGCUACCGUGCUAUUACACAAAACAAAUGCCUGGUCGCGAGUGUGUUUCACGUCCAUGUGUUGCGUUUUGUGUGGAUGCAAAUGUGCUGUGUAGCUAGCAAGCUAUGUGCUAACAACAUUUGGCGAUUGCAUCAGUUUAGUCAACAAAUUUACGCGUUCUGCACUUCCCACAGGGAAGAUUAUACAGCGACAGUAUUUACAAAACUGGUCACAGGCAUUUGCACUUAUCAAGCACAUGGGGGUAAGCCAAUGGAUCGGCACAAAGUGGAAUGAUUAAGCAACGAGAACAAUCGGCGCAAUAGUGGAAAAGCACCAAAUUGUGUUUUUUCAAUUUGCGUUUCUUCAGGUGUAGACAGGGUGUAAGAAUAUUGGAACUAGCGCUGAAAGGGUCAGAGGAUCUCUCAUUAUUUAGAAACACCGGUGAGGCUGACCUUGCGUCAUAAGUGCUUAGUGCAAUCGUGAUUGUGUAUGUGACCACUCGCUUCCUACUGUACAGACUCACACCCGUCUGCUUUCCUGGGACACCAAAGAGGUGGCUGACGUGUGAAGGCCUUUGGGUUCGUGCUGGUGAACUGUCUUUUGGAGGUCUGGAUCUGAAUCAAACAAGUCGCGCCGAUUCUGCCAAUAGUUGCCAGGGGAUACCAGCAGGCAGCCGUGCUCUGGAAGGACCGCCUGCAUGCGCCGUAACCCCGGCAACAGACUGAAAACACGACCAAGGGGAGAGCGGAAGACGUCCACAGGAACCAGACUGUUGUCCCAUGGUGAGACGGCUGCCUUGACCAACACCUGCUGGAUGUACGCCACCGGAGGACCCCGAUACUGCAAGGCGCUCCGACAGGUCACCCUGAGGCUCAUGGGACGGGACAGAGUAAUCUCGUACUCCGGUGGUGAACUCCACCGGUCCUGUUCCAGGCAGGGGCAGUUUCAGCAGAGGGUCAUCUGGGGACUGACUACAGGGUGGUUAUAAAAACAUAUCGUUUAGCAUGUCCCUGAAACAAAGAGUCACCAAGAAAUCAAUACCCUCCAGAUGGACAUCUGACAGCCUGUUUCUCACAAAAGGAACAUCUGUUACUCUUCUCUGCUUUCAGUUCAUCAAGGCCUGAAUGACUUUAUUGGGUGAAGCACAGAGAUGAACACAGGCUGAUUUAGUUAACAGGGAAACUAAAGACAACUAAAGAUUGUCCGGUCUUAUGUUUAGCUCAUUUCUAAACUUUUACAGAUCUUGUUUUCCACACUCUAGAAAUCAGUCAUUUUUAUUGAAGAUUUUGCUGUUGGUCAAACAUAUUUAAAUCCAGUUUAUGAUAUUUCCUGAUCCUGCUUCCUAUCUGCUCAUCGUAUAAUAGCCCUAUUAUAAACCAUAUUGUACAUACAUAGAUGAAUGCAUUGAAAGACUGAUGGUUCAAACUGAUUAGUCUACAUGGAAUAAUGCGCAAUGGAAAUCCACAAUGUAAAGGAAAACACUGUUGCAAUUUCAUGUCUUGAAUUUGAGUAAUUAAGGGUCCCUUGACAAAGGAUAGUUUUGUUCUUCCAGGAGGCUUGAGACACUGGCUUGUUCUUGCAGAAACAUUCUCACACUAUUUUCUUUAUUUUGACCUUUAGCUGAAGCAUCAGAGAUUUCAUUCACAUUUUGCUGACAGAUUUUUCAAGCUAUUUUUCUCAGUGCUCUGCUGAGUUUGUUUCGCAUGCGGCUCUACUGGCAUGAGAACUUCAUGACUAAUCUCACCCUCCAAUGAGAACUGUGAAGAGCAACCCACUGCCAGCCAACUUUAUUCCUAUGCUGGCUUCUCUCACCCUUUCAGAUUCAAGAUUGAAAAUGUCCUUAUAUAGUAAUUCAAAAAGCCAUCUUUGACCCACAGACGUACAUUAAAACAUGAUUUUCUCACCUUUAUUUAAAUUCAAAAAGCUGAAUGGAGACCGGGACGGACAUCUUAAGUCAUCACGACGCAUUGGCUGAAUAACGGUUUCAAGGUGUACAGGGGUUUGGAAAAGUCGCGGUUUUAAAACCACUAAAAGUUUAUGUUAUACCGUUCCAAAGGUAUGAGCUGUUUUGUCCAGGAAUCCAUCAGGUUCUGUGCUAUAUUUUGUUUAUGCUUAAUUAGUUGCUUGCUCAUCUGCAUUUAAUUUAUUUAUAUAUAUGUUUGUAUGCAUCCAAGUUUAAUUACUUGAAAUGCAUGUACAAGAAGACUAGAAAGGGGUCCCAUGCAUUCAAAAUGUUUGUGAAGCACUAAAUUAACCUGACAUACUGUUCAUGUUUACUACGGUUUCAAAUAUUUUGUGUUGUUUAAAAAUCUAAACUUUUGUGUACAAUGUUUUAAAUAACAGAUUUUGAAAGCUGCAACGCAAUACUGUUUAACCGUGAUGCAUCAUUUUCCUUAUAAUGAUGUGU